rnacentral:rRNA from 1 species
UGGGGAAUAUUGGACAAUGGGGGAAACCCUGAUCCAGCAAUGCCGCGUGAGUGAAGAAGGCCUUAGGGUUGUAAAGCUCUUUCGCCCGCGAAGAUAAUGACGGUAGCGGGAGAAGAAGCCCCGGCUAACUCCGUGCCAGCAGCCGCGGUAAUACGGAGGGGGCUAGCGUUGUUCGGAAUUACUGGGCGUAAAGCGUACGUAGGCGGAUGCGCAAGUUGGGGGUGAAAUCCCGGGGCUUAACCUCGGAAUUGCCCUCAAAACUGCACGUCCUGAGACCGAGAGAGGUAAGGGGAAUUCCUAGUGUAGAGGUGAAAUUCGUAGAUAUUAGGAAGAACACCAGUG